GUUGGCUGCUGUGGGAGCGGGCUCGCGCCCGGGUGGCUCCGUAAAAGAAAAAAAAAGAAAAAAACGGUGUGACAGCUCAGCGCUGUCCACGUCAACACACCGAGCGAGCUGCGAGCGAGCACGGCGGCGGCGGCAGCAGCAGCAGCGAUGGACUCUCUGGAACCUUCCCUCUACACAGUGAAAGCUGUUUUCAUUCUUGACAAUGAUGGCAACAGACUUCUGUCAAAGUACUAUGACCCUGAGCUUUACCCCUCCAUGAAGGAACAGAAGAACUUUGAGAUGAACGUUUUCAACAAGACACACAAAGCAGACAAUGAGAUAGCUUUCCUGGAGGGGAUGACCAUCGUCUAUAAGAGCAGUAUAGAUCUCUUCUUCUAUGUGGUGGGAAGUGCUCAGGAGAACGAGCUGAUGCUGAUGUCAGUACUGAACUGCCUGUUUGAGUCCCUCAGUCAGAUCCUCAGGAAAAAUGUGGAGCGGAGGUGUUUACUGGACAACAUGGAAGGAGUGUUUCUGGUUGUGGAUGAAAUCAUUGAUGGCGGGGUGAUUCUGGAGAGUGACCCCCAGCAGGUCCUACAGAAGGUCAACUACAGGCUAAUGUCAGAGCCAGCCUAUGGCUUCGUCCUGUUUGAUUACAUCACCGGUAACGUAGAGGGAGAAACAGUCAAGAGCCAGCUGCUGUAAGCAGACAGACAGAGGGCGGAUGAAAACCCAUUAUCUGAACAAAGCGUGGCCCAGGUUCUGCAGUCGGCCAAAGAGCAGAUCAAAUGGUCCAUUUUGAAAUGACUCGGACCAGACGCAUUUAGGAUUCUCAUGAAAAAAUAGAUAAAAAUAUUUAGUCCCAAAGCUAUUUUUUAUUAUAGUAACAGACUAAAGGGAAGGCCGUUACAAGCCUGUUGGCCAAUAGGCUGCUUUAUAGCAAUUAACCAGCUAGAUUUUCUUUCUGUGUUAUGGCAUUUUUGUUACAUUGUGUGUGUGACAUGUCAUUUAUUUAUUUGGUUGGAGAGUGAUGUUAGUUCACAGUCAUGAAGGUUUGUCAUUUAACAGGCCAAAUGACAUCAGGAAAUGGGGAGAAGCAAAGACUCAGGUCUCAAUAUCCAGCUGUGCUUCUGUAAAGGACAGCUGUUACACCAAAGUAAUCUGUUCAAAUACUGGAAGCCUGAUUUGGUGAUCCAUAAUCUAUUGCUUUUAUUUUGGUGAAGCAGGAGCUUUCACUUUAACAGAAUUUGACUGUAGGAUUUAUUUCAGCUGUUUUUGCAGAUUGCUGAUGUGUCAAUUAAAAAAAAUAAGAAGAAAUGACACCGUUUUAUACUUGACGAACUUUUCCGCCCAAAUGUUACAAAUGCUAAAAAAAAUAAAUAAAUAUGGCAACAAUCUAUUUAAGGAAACAUAGUCAUAUCAAUCUAAGGAUAAUCUAAAAAAUAAAAUAAAAAAAAGAAUAGACAAAAACAAAGCAAAUGCAGAUGUCUGCAGCAAACAUCUGCAAAUUGAAGCCAAAAAACUGAAUAUCGAAGAAAAUGGUGUUUUCAUUUGAACCAUGAAAUGUGGGUGGUGUUAAAUACGCACACACAUACACACACACACGCACACGCACACGCACACGCACACACACACACACACGGACGGAUGGAAGGACAUCAUUUGUGCACUGAAUUGCUCAGUUUAACCCAGUUUGUUGCUGUGCAGUACUGGUGCAUGUGUUUUGUAAAGCUUAUUUAAAGACUGUUAAAGAAUGUAAUGAUCCCUAAUGAAACUAAACAAAUGUUA